rnacentral:rRNA from 1 species
GACGAACGCUGGCGGCGUGCUUAACACAUGCAAGUCGAACGAAGUGGCGAAAGGGUGAGUAACGCGUAAUCAACCUGCCCUUCAGAGGGGGACAACAGUUGGAAACGACUGCUAAUAACGCAUACUGAAGAAGGGGAUUGCGUCUGAUUCGCUAGUUGGAGGGGUAACGGCCCACCAAGGCGAUGAUCAGUAACCGGUCUGGGAGGAUGACCGGCCACAUUGGGACUGGGACACGGCCCAGACUCCUACGGGAGGCAGCAGUGGGGAAUCUUCCGCAAUGGACGAAAGUCUGACGGAGCAACGCCGCGUGAGUGAUGACGGCCUUCGGGUUGUAAAGCUCUGUUAAUCGGGACGCGGUACCGGAAUAGAAAGCCACGGCUAACUACGUGCCAGCAGCCGCGGUAAUUC